rnacentral:rRNA from 1 species
UACGAAGGGGGCUAGCGUUGUUCGGAAUUACUGGGCGUAAAGCGCACGUAGGCGGCUUGGUCAGUCCCGUGUGAAAUCCCUCGGCUCAACUGAGGAACUGCACGGGAAACUGCCUGGCUUGAGUUCGGGAGAGGGAAGCGGAAUUCCGGGUGUAGCGGUGAAAUGCGUAGAGAUCGGGAGGAAGGCCGGUGGCGAAGGCGGCGCUCUGGAACGUUACUGACGCUGAGACACGGAAAGCGUGGGGAGCAAACAGG